ACUGAGGACAAUACCCUAUAGGAGUCAAGUACUGGAAUGUCUGACUCUUAAAUGAGAAGAUCUGUAUUCGAUCCAUUGCCUUAGGAUGAGUCUGCGGCGGAUUAGUUAGACGGUAGGGUAAUGGCCUACCGUGACUUUGAUCCGUACCGGCCAUGUGAGUGGGGGCCGGGAGAUGGACACUGAGACAAAGGUCCAGGCUCUACGGAGCGCAGCAGUCGCGAAAUCUUUGCAAUGCGCGCAAGCGUGACAAGGGAACCCCAAGUGCGCAUACAAAGUAUGUGCUUUUAUGAAGUGUAAGUAGCUUCAGGAAUAAGGGCUGGGUAAGACCGGUGCCAGCCUCCGCGGUAACACCGGCAGCUCAAGUGGUGAUCGCGUUUACUGGGUUUAAAGCGUGCGUAGUCGGUUUAGCAAGUUCUCUGUGAAAUCCUGCGGCUCAACCGUGGGGAUUGCAGAGAAUACUACUAGGCUUGAGGCCGGGGUAGGUGCAGGGUAUUCUGAGGGUAGCGGUGAAAUGCUAUAAUCCUUGGAAGACCACCGGUAGCGAAGGCGCUGCACUGGAACGGGCCUGACGAUGAGGCACGAAAGCUAGGGGAGCAAACAGGAUUAGAUACCCUGGUAGUCCUAGCCGUAAACGAUGCGGGCUUAGUGUUCCCUGAACCUCGCGUUCGGGGAGUGCUGUAGGGAAACCGUUAAGCCCGCCACCUGGGGAGUACGGUCGCAAGGCUGAAACUUAAAGGAAUUGGCGGGGGAACACCACAAGGGGUGGAUGCUGCGGUCAAUG
rnacentral:rRNA from 1 species